CCUUUUGUUUUCAGUUCAUUUUACAUCCUAAAAAGUAUACAUGUGUAUCCUGGUAAAUUUGCACUCCCUUUUUUCUUGGUACUGGUUAAUGUUAUACUCACUAUUUGUUGUGUUUCUUUUCAUGGUUUUCUUCGGGUGUUUGUUUUCUUUGUUUCUUUUUCUUUUUGCACCGGGUUUUCUUUGGAUUUCUUGUUCCCUCCAUUUUCUUCUUUUUUUUAUUUUGUUUCUUUCCUGGUUUUUCUUUUUCCCUUGUUAGACUUCGGUUUUCUUUGCCUUUCUUAUUGGUUUGCUUUGUUUAAUUUAUGUUUCUUUGUCGGUUGCCAUUAUUUUCCGUUUUUCUUCAACACAUAUCUAAUUUUUAAUGUGUUUGUUCUUUUUUUUGUUUUUUUUUGUUUGUUAAUUUGUGGUUUUUGUNNNNNNNNNNNNNNNNNNNNNNNNNNNNNNNNNNNNNNNNNNNNNNNNNNNNNNNNNNNNNNNNNNNNNNNNNNNNNNNNNNNNNNNNNNNNNNNNNNNNNNNNNNNNNNNNNNNNNNNNNNNNNNNNNNNNNNNNNNNNNNNNNNNNNNNNNNNNNNNNNNNNNNNNNNNNNNNNNNNNNNNNNNNNNNNNNNNNNNNNNNNNNNNNNNNNNNNNNNNNNNNNNNNNNNNNNNNNNNACUUAUUUCUUUGGUUUUCUUUUUCGUUUUUAUUGUCUUUCGUUUCUUUUUUUAAUUUUUUUUAAUUUUCUUUGUUUCUUUCGGUUUCCAUUAUACAAUUCUUCGUAUACAUCAAGCACAUUUUUAUAGUACACAUUUAACAUUUUUCAAAUAUGGAUUUAAUAUGUUUUAAUUCAUGCUCUACAUUUUUUCUAUAGACAUUAUUAACUUUUUUCCAAUUCUUGAUUAACAUUCUUCAGAUACUAGAUUAACUUUUUUUGAAUACAUUUUUCUAUACACAUUUUAACAUUUUUAGAUGCUUGAUUAACAUUUUUUAGAUACGAGAUUAACAUUUUUCUAAUCCAUGGUCAACAUUUUAUCUAUACACAUUUAAUAUUUCUCAAAUACUUGUUUAUUUUUUUUCAAAUGCUUAAUUAACAUUUUCUGAAUACAUGGUUUUUUUCAGACGCAUUGUCUUUUUGUUGUAUACAUGAGGAACAUUUUCUUUAAACACAUUUGAAAUGCUUGGUUAAUUUUCUUUAAUACAUGGUCACAUUUUUUCUACAUGUUUUUUAUUUUUUUAAAUGCUUGAUUAACAUUCUUCAAAUACAAGUUUUGCAUUCGUUGAUACAUGAUUAACAUUUUUGAAUACAUGGUCAACAUUUUUUGUGUACACAUUUUAAAAUUUUCAAAUGCUUGAUUAACAUUCUUCAAAUACAAGUUUGGCAUUCGUUGAUACAUGGUCAACAUUUUUCCUAUACACAUUUAAAUAUUUUCAAAUGCUUGAUUAAUAUUUUCCAAAUAAUUGUUUAACAUUCUUUAAAUAUAUUAUCAACUUUUUUAGACGCAAAAAAAUAUGUUAUCAACUUUUUCACACACAUUAUACAUUUUCUGUAUACAUGAGAAACAUUCUGUUUAUACACAUUUAACAUUAUUCAAAUGCUUGGCUAACAAACUUUUCAUAUAUGUUAUGUAAUUUUUUUCUAUAGCAUAUUAAUUUAGAAUAUGCGGUAGUAUAACCUAAAGAAAAUAAACGGAAAAAUGUGGAAAAAAACCGAGGAUGUGGCCUCCCGCGCGGUUUGGCCGGCCCAUUUUCGGAGGAUCCUGACGGAAGAGCACACUAGGUGUCGCUAUAAGCGAGAUAUAGCGCUGCGUCCGAUUAGAUUGCGACCUAGCUACAAUGGCAGAGUUUUGGCUAGACCAUGCUGGGCCAAUGCCUCCUAGCCCAAUAUUUUUCUUUUCUUCUCAAUACCCUUGUUAAAUGGGCUAAAUCUUUACGAAAACCAGCUUAAAACUUCUUUUGCUUGCCCUCCCAGUCCAUUUACCCACCAGUAUUAGGGCUCAAACUCCGCUACUGACAAGCUAAGCCUAUCUAGGAGUCCAUUGCCCGUUCAACCACCAUGGUGUCCAAAAAACAAGGCCUAACAAAGCGGGAAACAACCUAGACUCCUAGAGUUCAUCCCGUGGUUUGGUUUGGUUUCACAUCGUUGUGCGCACUAGUAAGUAAUACGGGCAUUGCACAUGAAAACUUGGAUAAUCAAAGUAUGACCAAAUGUUGACAUAUUUUAUUGUAAUAUGUGUAUAAUGUUUUAAGGCACAUGGGUAAACUAUAAGAUGCAUAUUUAGUUCUUUAGGAAGUGUCUCCGUUAGGUACUUCGAAUUAAAUUAUUGAUGGAAAUAUGCCCUGGAGACAAUAAUAAAGUUGUUAUUAUUAUAUUUUCUUAUUCAUGAUAAAGGUUUAUUAUUCAUGCUAGAAUUGUAUUGACUGGAAACUUAAAUACAUGUGUGGAUACAUAAACAAAUACCGUGUUCCUAGUGAGCCUCUACUAGACUAGCUCAUUGAUCAAAAGAUGGUUAACGUUUCCUAACCAUAGACAUGAGUUGUCAUUUGAUAACGGGAUCACAUCAUUAGGAGAAUGAUGUGAUGGACAAGACCCAACCGUUAGCAUAGCAUAUGAUCGUUCAGUUUAUUGCUACUGUUUUCUUAAUGUCAAAUACAUGUUUCUUCGACCAUGAGAUCAUGCAACUCCCGGACUCCGGAGGAAUGCCUUGUCUUCCAUCAAACGUCACAACGUAACUCGGUGAUCAUAAAGGUGAUUUACAGGUAUCUCCGAAGGUGUCUGUUGAGUUGGCAUGGACCGAGACUGGGGUUUGUCACUCCGUAUGAUGGAGAGGUAUCUUUGGGACCUCUGAAGAUACAGGAUCACAAGAAGCUUGCAAGCCAAUUGACUAAGGAGUUAGUUAUGGGAUGAUGUAUUACGGAACGAGUAAAGAGACUUGCCAGUAACGAGACCAUUCAAACAGACGGCCCACCCGCAAGCCUCGUCUGCCAGCUUGGCUUGCAGGCCCGGAGUGGGCUUUGGGCCCAAAUCACCCAACGCGUGUAUAAAGCCUCCCCUAUACUCUCCUGCGUGAGAUGGACGACAUGCAACGGCUAGAUGCUUAGAUAGAAAGUACUUGAGCUCCCAUCUCCUCCCGAUCCCCCUCCUCCUCUGUAAUUCGAACUCGAAUCCAUGGUGUAAUAGAUCGAGAGUUGACAAUGCCUUGCCCCGGGAGAAAAAAUAGUGUGCAUUUAGUUUUAGUGAGAAUUAUAUGUGCAAGCAUGACCCUGUGUGCACGCCUGAGAAGGAACAUUUAGAUUCUAGGUUUCGCCAUGUGUGAAGUAAUCAAUCCACUAUUUUUUCCAUUCAUUGAUCGAGGGGAUUUAAGGUAUGAAGAUUAUACAUUUAGGUCAUGGGUUUUGUUAGGUCAUCGCAUGCAAGAGAAGGCCGUAAAUUAUUCAACUUAUUUUCCUAUUCAUUCGAGGGGAUUUGAACAUACGAAGUUCCAUAAUAUGAAAGUGAGGCAUGUCACAGAUAUAGUAUAACCAGAGUUAAUUCUACUAUGUUGUUUAUCCAUUCAUUGAUCGAGGGGAUUUAAGGUGUGAAGUUCCAUGAUAUGGGGGUGGGUGGGGUCUUCUCUUUUCAAUGCAUCUAGCUCAUGUAGUCUGGUGUUUUCUUUUCUGUUCCUCGGGUAGCAAUCCUCAAGAUAUUUAGGGCUAGCUAGCUCAUGUAUUUAAGAACGUACUGCAGUGUCAGAUUCAAAACAUUUUUUUGAUUUAUUUUAACUUCUCAAAAAUAAUUAUUAUCAUGAAUUUUUGAAUAUUCUUGGAAACAUGAAUAAUUUUUGAAACCCGGACAGUUUUAAAAUUUCAUACAUAUUUCAAAAAACAUGAUUUUUUUAAAAAGAAACAUUUUUUAAAUAUACAAAUAAUUUUGGCAAACAUGAAACUUUUAUAGAAAACAUAAACAUUUUUUUAAUUUGUGCUUUUUUAAAACGGAAACAUGUUUUGAACAUUCAUUUUUUUAGAAAAUGUGUAUUUUUUAAACAUUUUUUUGAAAUUUGGCACAUUUCAAAUAAAAAAUUAUAUUUUUUGAAUUUCUAAUAUGUUUUAGAAUGCAACAUUGUUUUGGAAAACUCUAAACAAUUUUGGAAAACACAAACCUUAUUGAAACAACGGGAACAUGUUUUUCAAUUUAAGAAAUUUAGGGUCCUUUUCCAGCUAGCUCACGUAUUAAUCCAUCCAUACCUCGUCCAGCUUAAUCCAUACAUCUUUCAUCCAUCUUACUACAUGUAGUUUCGCAGACAUAUAUAAACUGAUAUGACUAUAUGUAAAGGAACAAUGUGGGACUAUUAAAAUAUGUUACCUUAAAUUUGUGUAAAUUUCAUUAAAACAAUAAUAUUUUUGAGUUUGGAACAUUUUCUAAGAUGCAAGUUUUUUUGGAAAAUCUCGAACAGUUUUUGAAAACACAAACAUGUUUUUGGAAAAGUGGGAAUAUUUUUUGAAUUUUGAAAACAAAUUCAAACAAGAAAAAAAAUUGUAGUUCUGUUUUCUUCAAAAUAAGAACACAAUUUUGGAAUUAUGAACAUUUUUUGAAAAUUUGACAAAAGUAGACAUUCUGAACAUUUUUAAAAUUUUGGAAUUUAGAAAAAGUGAAAACAGGAAAAUAAACUUGGAAGGGAUAAAGUAAAAAAGAAACUGGAAAGAAAAAGAGAAAGAAACCGAAAAAUAAACAUAGAAACAGAACGCAGAAAAAAGGAAAACGGGCCGGCCCAGUCCUGGGUACCCUGUGCGAAGCUCCGACCAUUUUCGGCCACAUGCCAAAAAUAGGAUACUCCCAGCUGCGUUGGCAGGAAAAUAAGUGGGCUGGUUUCGCUGGGCCGCAGCGCGCGGCCCAUGUAUGAAAUUCUGAACAAACCUUUUUUUUCUUUUCUAGAAGACAAAUGCACAAAAAAUUAGUACCACCUCAGAUAGUAAAAAAAAAUCUUUUUGGUGCCGAACGGAUGAAAAAAAUCAAAGAAACACACCUUACUUUAUUAGUAGAUAUAUAGAAGAAUUACGGCUAGCAGAGUAGGCAUGAAUCUCAGGACAUGCACCUAUAGCAUGAAUGCUUACAUACUUUUUCGUUUACAGAGUUGAAAAUUUUGUACCGGUGGGCAUAGCAUAAUGUAUCAACCUCAGGACUUGCAUUUAUAGUACUCCCUCGGAUCUCAAACAAGUGCGUAGUUUUAGUUUAAACUUAAACUAAUCUUAAACUAAAACCAUGACACUUAUUUUGGAUCGGGGGAGUAUUUAUUUCAUUAACAUCACAUGAUAUGUGUUACAACUAAGCAUUGCACACGGAUUUCCAGAGUAAGCAUUCCAAGGGGAAUAAUGACACACUUUAGAAAGUAUCACAACAGUGGUUAGGUCAUUACUUAUCAAGCAAUCGUGUCAAUAUAAUCAAGCCAUUUACUAAUGUCAGAAGUUGUUUUCAUUAGGUGAAAAGAAGUCAACCAUGAAUAUUAAAACUUUAAUAGAACCUGCGGUGGCGCGAGGCCCCUAGCAGCCGUGUCCGUUGGUUGGGGCGAGCCUCCUCGUUCCUUCGUUCUCUGUUUGGUACUGUAGCUGUGUUGUUCGUCCGGGGCGUGCCUAUGUUUGGUGCUUCCACUGAAAAAACAUAAAAGGUCAUGCAACAUUUCUGAACGAGUGAUUACUCAAUCUACUUGUACACAUAACGUUUUUAUUGAAUCCUCUAAGAAAAUUUGCCAAAUGCUGAACCUUAAUACUAAUGAUCAAAUUAAUGAUCAAUGUAUAGAAAUCUCAUACAUAUGCAACUCUGUCUCCUUAUUCUAUGACCCAACAUCUUCGAGCAUGACAUAUGUACCUUGCUUUCUUUUGAGUCCUAACAAAAUAUUAAACUUCUAGAGAGCAAUAAUAUAACUUGACAACUCAUAGCCAUGCAUGCAUCUCUCUCAUUUUUUCAGCAUUGCGUCUUUAUUAUUAAUACUAAUAGUAAAGAAACAAAAUCCAUUGUCUGAGAUAUCAAACAUAAUAUGGUCGUAAAUUUAAAACAUAGGGUCAAGAAGAUCAUAAAAGAUAUAACUGAGGUAUAGGGGAUGCCGAGGCAUAUUCAAGCUUUGCGGAAUUGGCCCUCUUGUUUUCCUUCUCUUGAACACCUUAUUGCCCCCCUUAAACCUUAAACCUUUAUCAAGUUUUGGUAUACAAAUUCAUAAUAAAUGACUUAUCAUUUUGUACAGUAGAUACCAACAUUUAUCACCCUUUGGGCCUUCUUAAAGAGUUCAAUUACGGCAUGUAUAGAUCAUAAACAAGCACAAUUCUAUUCUAUUUCAGCAGCUAAUAUUAGUGCAAAUGGAUGGUUUAGAGUUCAUGAAAAAAAAUUAGACUUAAAUCUCCCAAAAAUCAGCACCGACGGGAGAAAAAGAGUAUACCAAGUCACCAUUCAUUGGUACAAAUUUUUCACACGAUAGUGAUGUAUGGUCUCUGCCGACGAACAAUGUGCCCAUCAAUGGAGACCCAAUCGUUCAUUCGUAGGAUAGUAGUUAUAAACGCUAAACAUGUCAAUGGAGGGGUUUAGGUGCCCAUACGUAAAAGGUAAUUUUAUAGUCAUGAUACGUGGUUGUAGAUGAGGUGUCACACACCCAGAAAAGACAAGUAAGAACUUGAACUAUGAGAGGACUAGUCGAUUAGAAUAAGAGAAAAUAGACGGUGAGGAGGUGGGACGUUGUAGGAAGGGCAAUGUUGUUAGAGACACGACCAAAAAUAGAUAGUGUAGAAGAUCAAAUCAACCCAGAGGGGCACAAGAUUUUAACGUGGAAACCCCCUCCAAUGAGAAGGGGAAAAAACCAAGGGUGCCAGCCAGUAAAACAUCACUAUAUACGGAGAGGUUACAAACGCCAGGAAUUUACGAUGAUGAUCUUAUCCCGCAUGGUGGCUUACAAAGUAUAUAUAUAGUAGUGGUCACGUAGGUUGAUAUUGAUGCAUAAUUCCACGCGGCCCAAGCCUCUCCCGGCGACAGGCCUCUGGUCCACUCCGUCAGAAAUUAGUCCCCCAUAUGAAUUUGGGUGCGGCCAAUGUCCAAAUGGCACCGGGGAUCUAUGUCACGACAAGGGUGGCCGUUGUGUAACAAUUAUGCCUUCCCUUCUAUCUGAUAAGCAGUUUCACACAGAAAUGUUAAAUUUUGUGCACCAAGGUUUUCGAAGGGGAAGGAAAAGGUACCUAGCUGACAUGUAGUUUCUUCAAUGGCGGCAAAGAAGCAGCAAUCACACAUGCAAGUACAGAAACAUAAGAUGCAAGUUGGGCAUGUCUCGCGUGGCUUGACCCAAUAGUCAAAAACUAUUCCAUUAUUAUUUGAAAUAGUGUGCACAAAGCGGGGUGCUCAUAAAUAUGCAACGUGAAGCAAAAACCUAGAACUUACGUGCACUAACCAGAAACUGUUGCACGCCAAGUUUUUGUGGGAGGAAGCGAGGGAUACCAUGCUGGAAAGCUAGGCAAUGAUCUCACAUGGUUUCACCAAUAAGACAAUAAUACCACCAAUGUAAGGAGCAACAAUCUUUUUGUUCAGUAUCAUGCAACUCUUUAUUUCUCUUAAAUUGCCUCAAGCCCUCAAGCACAAACAACUAAACGACAUUGUAAAAACAAACUGGGCGCAACUUUUUGGGAAAAGGUGUAUGCGAGUAUAAAACAUAAGACAAAGCACAUGCACGUACAGAAAUAAGGCAAUGCAUGUGAGGUAUGUCCUUAUGUGGCUUGACCCAACAGUCAAAAAUAAAAAGUAAAAUCAAGGUUGCUCGUAUAUAUGCACUAUGAAAUCAAAACCUACAACUUCCGUGCACCAAAUAUAUGAAAAGAAAUGAAAGGAUAUUCAAACAAUGUCAGUGGUUUCUUCCAUACCAGCAAUGGAGCAUCAAGCUUAUAAUUAGGCAUGUCUCUCUCCAUGGAGUGGAAAUUGUACGUGGCUCCCAAUGAGGUGUCAUGCGCCGAGAAAAGGAAAGAAAAGUGAAGUUGAAAUGGACGGGGAGAAUUAGAGGGAGGGGGGCACGGUUGGGGGAUGGCAAAAUGUAGGUGCUCAUCUCCGAAUAACGGAAUGGGGCAGGAGGCGGAAGGAUCUACGUUGCGACAUGGGCGACCGUUAUGUAGCAGUUGAGCUUUUUGUUUGGUCUGACAUGUGUAGUCAAAAAAUCGAAACAAAGAACAUUUUUGUGCCAACAUUUUGGGAGUGGAUGCGAAGUAUACCGUGCUAGACGAUGAUGUCGUCGAAUUGUUACUUUACUACCAAAUUAAUUAAGAGGUAACAAAAUUUUCCUUCACAUCUCAAGCAAUCCUUUCUACUUUCUUCCCCUUGAUUUCAAUACAAAAUCCAUUUUGAAAUGGUACCUUACAAAUCGAUUGGUAGAUCUGGCUGGCUAGCAUGAGCAUAGACAAGCAUAGACGAGACGACGAUGAAUGGAAUCAUGGAUCAGGCGGCGGCGUUGGUUGGCCUGGGGACGUACUUGCGGAGCCAAAUCUCACGUUGUCCAACGGAGAUCUUGACGAGCCUCUCGCCGUUAAGCACGAGCUUCACGAUCGCCUCUGUCUUGAAGAUGACCCGGCCAUACAUGGGCAUCUGGCCUCCCUUCUUCUUCUCCAUCAGCACCCUCACGACACAGUCACCCCACUUCCUGCAGCCAUGCAUGCAAACCAUGAGACAUGAUCCAGUUCCAAUCAUCAUGGAUCAUGCAUGCAGAUCUUAGUAGAUCCACGUGUAUAAAUAAACCUAAUCAAUAGAUCAAGUAAUGUAUGUCAUACUUGCCAGUGCACACUUACUGUCUGAAGUACUCAAAGAUCUCCUCGCGGUGGAGGGCAUUUCCCUUGGAGAAGGUGAUGAACAUGGAGCGGCAGUCCUCCGGCACGGCCACUGGCUGGGAGGUGUAGGGCGCCAUGAGCUCUGGCGGGUUGACCAUCAUCAGCCCAGUCUCAGACCUCCGGAGCAGGACGUGCAGGCGGUCGUCAAAUACGAACUUGCCGGCACCAUCGAGGAAGUGGGCGACACCGCGGACGACGAGGUCCUGGUGGAAGGCGAAGAAGCUCGGCUCGAUGUGGACAGCACCUUGCAUGCAGAGCGCAGAGAUGAGUGGGAUGGACGGGAGCGCGGGCUCCUGGUGGCGGAGGCACUCGAGGACGGCGUUGGCCUCUUCUGCGACGACAGCGACGGCGUCGGGCGCCAUGGCUGGUACGUGGUGGAUGGCGGAGAUGGUGCCCUGGUCCAGCCACACCAGCAGCGCCACCGCGUUCCGGGCUUUCUCCUGGCAGCCGUACACGGACAAUAACCGCUCGUAUGCCUGUCGUGCGACGCUGUACAUGUACAGCACGUCGCGCACCAUCAUCGCCGCCAUUGUUGCUUUGGUUAUUUGGUUGCUCUUGCACCGGCCGGCCGGAGAAGAGGCGAUGGAUGGCUGGCCUGAGAACUAAGCUAGCAAGAGAGGAACGAGGAAGGGGUGAUGGGUGGACGGGGAAUGGACCGAUAUUUGUAGCUGGUCCUGUUCCGGCGAUGCUGCCACGCUCCGGCCGGUGGAAGGUUUAAUGAGGUGCCAAAAAUGGACUAGCGGGAAAAAUGCUCUCUUUGAAUCAGUUGCUCUUAGUUCGUUAGUUGGUUUUACAUCCUCUUUUGUUUUCAGUUUGUUUUACAUCCUAAAAAGUAUACAUGUGUAUCCUGCUAAAUUUGCACUCCCUUUUUCUUGGUACUGGUUAAUGUUAUACUCAGCAUUUUUUGUGUUUCUUUUCUAGGUUUUCUUCGGGUUUUUCUUUUCUUUGUUUCCUUUUCGUUUUUGCACCGGAUUUUCUUCUGAUUUCUUGUUUUCUGCAUUUUUCUUUCUUUUUCCGUUUCUUUCCUGGUUUUUUAUUUUUCCCUCUUUGUACUUCGGUUAUGUUUUGUUCUCUUAUUGGUUUUCUUUGUUUAUUUAUGUUUCUUGGUCGGUUUCCGUCAUUUUUCUUUUUCUUCAACACAUGACAUUUUUUUUAUCUGUCCUUCGGGUUUUUUCCGUUUUCUUUUGUUUAUCUGGGGUUUUCAUAUUUCUUGUUUGCUUUUUUCUUUGUUUGCUCAUUAGACUUUAGGUUUUUUUUCCCGCAAAAAAAGACAUUAGGUUUUUUAAUUUUUUCCUGUAGUUUUUCUUUGGUUUCUCCUUUAUUUCUUUCAUGAUUUNNNNNNNNNNNNNNNNNNNNNNNNNNNNNNNNNNNNNNNNNNNNNNNNNNNNNNNNNNNNNNNNNNNNNNNNNNNNNNNNNNNNNNNNNNNNNNNNNNNNNNNNNNNNNNNNNNNNNNNNNNNNNNNNNNNNNNNNNNNNNNNNNNNNNNNNNNNNNNNNNNNNNNNNNNNNNNNNNNNNNNNNNNNNNNNNNNNNNNNNNNNNNNNNNNNNNNNNNNNNNNNNNNNNNNNNNNNNNNNNNNNNNNNNNNNNNNNNNNNNNNNNNNNNNNNNNNNNNNNNNNNNNNNNNNNNNNNNNNNNNNNNNNNNNNNNNNNNNNNNNNNNNNNNNNNNNNNNNCCGGUUUCCAUUAUACAUUCUAUGUAUACGUCAGGCACAUUUUUAUAAUACACAUUUAGCAUUUUUCAAUUACAAAUUAAAUAUUUUUAUAAUACAUGAUCAACAUUUUUCCUAUAAACAAUUUUCAAAUACUAGAUUAUCAUUUUCUGAAUACAUGAUCAAAAUGUUUUCUUUACACAUUUUAACAUUUUUCAAAUGCUUGAUUGGCAUGAUUAACAUUUUUUUAAUACAUGGUUAACAUUUUUUUCUAUACUCAUUUAAAAUUUCACAAAUACUGCUUUUUUGAACACAAUGUUUCUCAAAUACUUGUUUAAGAAAAAAAAUCAACUGCUUUAUUAACAUUUUCUGAAUACAUGAUCAACCUUUUUCACACAACAUGUAUAUUUUUUCAUGUAUAGGAGAAAAAAAUCUUUAUACAAAUUUAAAUUUUUUCAAAUGCUUGGUUAAGAUUUGUUUAAUACAUGGUCACAUGUUUUCCACGAACUUUUAAAUUUUUUAGGAUGCUUCAUGAACAUUACAAAUACAAUAUUAACAUUUUUUGAAUGCAUGGUCAACAUUUUUCCUAUACAUAUUUUAACAUUUUCAGAAGCUUGAUUACCAUUUUCCAAAUACAAGUUUGGCAUUUUUUAAUACAUGGUCAACUUUUUUCUAUACAAAUUUAAUAUUUUUCGAAUACUUGAUUAAAGUUUUUCAAAUACGUGUUUAACAUUUUAAAAAAUAAGUUAUCAACUUUUUUACACAUAUUUUACAUUUUCUGUAUACAUGAGAAACAUUUUCUUUAUACACAUUUAUUAUUUUCAAAUGCUUGGCUAACAAUUUUUUCAUAUGUUUUAUUUGUAAUAUUUUAAUUUAGAAUAUCUGGAAGUCUAACCUGAAGAAAAUAAAAAAAGGUGAAAAUAACGAGGCCGUGGCCCUCCGCACGCUUCGGCCGACCCAUUUUUGGAGGAUCCUGACGCGAGAGCACGCUAGGUCCCGCUUUAAGCGAGAUAUAGCACUACCUCCUAUUAGAUUGCGACCUAGCUACAAUGCCUCCUAGCCCAAGAUUUUUCUUUUCUUCUAAAUACCCUUGUAAAUGGGCUAAAUUUUCAUGAAAAGCAGUUAAAACUUGUUUUGCUUGCCCUCGCAGUCAAUUUACCCACCAGUAUUAUGGCCCAAACUCCGCUUUUGGAGAGCUAAGCCUGCCUGGGAGUCCAUUGCCCGUUCAACCACCAUGGUGUCAACAAAACAAGGCCUAACAAAGCGGAAACGACCAAGACUCCUAGAGUCUCAUCCCGUAGAUUGAUUUGGUUUCACAUCCUUGUGUGCACUAGUAAGUAAUACGAGCAUUACAAGUGAAACUUAGAUAAUCAAAGUAUGACCAAAUGCUGAAAUAUUUUAUUGUAAUAGAUGUAUAAUUGUUUUAGGCACAUGGAUAAUUGUCAAGAGUAAUAACUCAUGAUCAUAUAUAUUCAACGCAUGGAUUUUUCCCUAACAUAGUACAAUAUUUGCCAAGUGGAGAAUAUUUAAGGUUGGAAUAAGAGAAGCUGACUCAAACAUAAAAUAAAGUAGAUGGAAAAAGUAAAAAAGAAAGGCCCUUCAUAGAGGGAAACAAAGGUUUUCAUAUGCUUUUGAGUUGGAUGUGUUUGUUUUUAAUGAAAAUGAACAUCCCUUUAACAUUACCCCGUAUGAUAGUAAGCAAUAUUUAGCAUUCCGUCGCUUUUAUUACUUUACCAUCAAAAGUUCGUACAAAGCUUAUUUCCCUUCCAAUAAAAGAUCAUACAUACUUAUAGGGAAUUUUUAUUGCAUGCACCUAUUGUAACUUACUUGAAGGUCUUCCUCAAUCCAUAGUUAGUUAUAGUGGACUUUUUAGGGAAGAAACUGGGUUUAGGGUUUUUGAUGCACAAGUGGUAUUCCCACUUAAUGUGGAAGUAUUAGGCUAGCAAAGAUUAAAAAAAUACCAUAUGUUGGAGGAUCCAUGACAAUAUAACUUCUACACAAAUAUAUAUAAAUAUAACUCAUUACGUUUUCUUUCUUGUCCAACAUCAACUAUUUGAUCAUGUGUAAAGAUAGUCACUAAGGGUUCACAAUCACAAAAUAUGCUCAAGAUAGUAUAUUUGCAUGUGAAAUUUCUCUUCCUUGUACUAACCUUUCAUGAAUUGUUCAAAUGAACAAUGUGGUGUUUGUUAAAUUUCAAUAGAUUUUACUUCCUAAACCCAAUGUGAAGACACUACUUCCCAUAAGAUCAGCAUAUGAGAUUGAAUUGCAAUGCUAGGAUACACAAUAAAGAAAAAGCAAACAAGAUACUCAUGCUAUUCUUUAUUAUAGAUACUCUCACCAACAGAUACAACAAAAACACGAAGGAACAAUAACACACAUUGCAAUCUAUUUCAUACUACAACUUUUACUAAACCACGAUAAUAGAUAAUAAUAAUGAUAAAGGUUGUGAUACGAUACUAGGGCACCUCCGCUAUGCUUGGAACAAGCCAAGGGUGGCGCCCAUACCCAAGUACUCAUGUUUCCUUCUUUGGUGAUGGCGGUGGUGGUGGAACACAGUUGUCACCCUACUUCUAAGGCAUAUGUUCUCCAUCAAGAAAAGAAGAAGUGGUCUCCGGGAUCUUGAAAUUUCCAGCCAAACCCAUCAUCUUGAACUUAGUUUCAUACACAUAGAUUUGAUUAUGCACAUCAUAAAUUUGAGCUUGGAGAUCUUCAACUUUGACGUGGAGGCGACCAAUUGCCUCCCAAGUCUUGGCACUCUCUCACUUCUGUUCAGAAAGCAAUUCCAUGAUCAUGGUAUGGUUUGUAUCUAGUCCACGCUCCACCAUCCUCUGGCACUUGAAGAGUUCUUGCUCCAUGUCCUUGAGCCUAGCCUUGUCGUCUUCCUCCUCCUUGGUCCAUUCAAGAUCCUUGAUGUGCAACACCCCCUCCCUAUACUCCAUGGUUUUGGGAUGCAUCAUAACCCCAGGGAAAUAAGGGCUGAUGACCUUCUCAACGAACUGAUCCUUGGAGGAGCUUGACGACGACAUAGCGAUCUAGCUCUCAAAACCCUGGCAGAAACAGGAUUGAAAAGGAAAUAAGAGGAAAACUUGUCAUACGUAUACCAAAACAUCCGGGGGAAUUUAUAGGAAUUGUUUUCUCCACGAAACAAGCAUACGGGAAAGAGACGGAGUCGGGAAGAGUACGGGGACCCCACACGGCCACAUGGCAGGGGCGCCACCAGGGCGUGUGGACCCCUGGUGCACCCUAGGCUCCUUCUUUUCCCCAAAAAUUAUUAAUUCAAAAAUUGACAGAUAUGUUAUUAUUCUAUGAAUUUUUUAUCAGUCUAUCUUGCCGUACCACGUACCUAUACCUUUUUCCGGGUUCUAGAGGCUUCCCAAAUGGUUUCUUCUAUGCAUUCUUCUGGUCUAAUUACUUGAAUAACAUCUGAAUCUAUGUUAAUGGGAUUACCUAUAGUAUAUUGUUUUAGUCUUUGCCCAUUAACUACCUUCGGUUUAUCUCCAUUGGCAUUAUUGAUCUUGAUAGCUCAACAAUGGUAAACUUCUUUGAUGAUAUAUGGACCUUCCCACCUAGAAAGAAGUUUGACUGCAAAAUGUCUGAAAUGAGACUUGUACAAAAGAACUUUAACAACAAUGUUUAAAUGUCAUUUCUAAAUCCUUUUCUCAUGCCAUCUUUUAUAUUUUUUUGAACAACUUGGCAUUUUCAUAAGCUUCUCUUCUCCACUCAUCAAGAGAACUCAUAUUAAAUGACCUCUUUUCUCCAGCAAGUUUGAAAUCAUAGUUAAGCUAUUUAAUUGCCCAAUAGGAUUUAUGUUCUAGCUCAAUAGGUAAAUGACAUGCUUUUCCAUAAACCAUUUUAAAAGGGGACAUUCCCAUAGGAUUUUUGUUAGCGGUUCUAUAUGCCCAGAGUGCAUCAUCUAGUUUCUUAGACCAAUUCUUUCUAGAUUUAUUAAUAGAUUUUUGCAAGAUUAAUUUAAUUUAUCUAUUAGUUAAGUCAAUUUUUGCAAGUUGCGCCCAUAAACAAGCACAAUUAGAUUAUAUUUCAGAAGCUAAAAUUGAUUUAAACGUAGGGAUUGGACUUUGCAAAAGAAAAAAACAGAUUUAAAUGCCCAAAAGCUCUGCCGGCGAGCGAAAAAGAGUAUACCAAGUCACUAGUGACAUGUAUAAAAUCUCCACUCAAUAGUGAUCUACCAUCUCUGUUGAUGAACGACGUGCCCGUCGAUGGAGACCCUAUCCUUAAUUGGCAGCAUAGUACUGACAGGCACUAUGUCUGUCAAUGGAGGUUUUUAGCCGCCCAUAAGUAAAAGGUGAUUUUAUAGUCAUGGAACGUCGCUCCAAAUGAGGUAUCGCACGCCAGGAUUAGACAUAUAAAAACUUGGACUAUGAGAGGACUAGAAUAAGCGGAAAUGGAUAGUAAAAAUUAGAGGAGGCGGGGCAUGCAUUGUCAGAAGGUGUAUGUAGAUGUGGUCAAUGUCCAAACAAUGGCACCGGGGGGAUCUAUGUCGUGACAUAGGUGGUCGUUGUAUAACAAUUUUGGCUUUUGCUCUAUCAUAUAUACAAUUUUGAAUAAAUAAUAAUAACUUUGCGCACCAAGGUUUUAGGAGAGGAAGCAAAGGAUACCUAGGUGACAUGUGGUUUCUUUAGUGGCAGCAUGGAAGUAGUAAGCGCACAAGCAAGUAUAGAAAACAUAUGAUGCAAGUCAGACAUGUCUCACGUGAUUUGACCCAAUAGUAAAAAAGAUAUUUCAUUAUUAUUCGAAACAAUGUGCACAAAGCCGGGUGCUCGUAAAUAUGCAAUGUGAAAUAAAAACCUAGAAGUUAUGUGCACUAACCGUUUAGGAAAGAAACCGACGAAUAUUGAGAAAAUGGCAUGCGGUUCCUUCCAUACCGACAAGCGACAAAGGAGCAACAAUGUUAAUUAGACGGUGGUAUGUUGUGAGGGUGUGGGUGGUGGUAUGUAAGCAGGUGGUCCAUAUCCAAAUAACAGAACCCGAUGAUCUAUAUCGUGACAUGGUUGACCGGUGUAUAACGAUUGUAUUUUUUCUCGGUCUGAUAUGCAGUUUCAAAUCACAAUUAGGGAUUUUUGCAUGCCAAGGUUUUGUGGGGAGGAAGCAAAUAAUACCGACCUGGCAAACUAGGCAAUGAUGUCACAUGGUUUCUUCAAUAAUACCGAUGCCACCAAAUAUAAGGAGGAACAAGCUUUUUGUUCAUUCUCAUACGGUUCUUUAUUUCUUCUAAAUUGUCUCAAGUACAAACAAAUAAACGGCCUUGUAUAGAACAUAUGACAUAGCACAUGCAAGUAUAGAAAAUAUACAAUGCAUGCGGGGUAUGUAUGUGGCUAAAUCCAAUAGUCAAAAUAUAAGAAGUAAAAAAAUCAAGGGUGUCGACAUAUAUGCAAUGUGAAAUAAAAACCUACAACUUUCGUGCACCAAUGAUUUGGGAAAGAAACUAAGGGAUAUUUAGACAACGGCAAAUGUUUCUUUCACGCCGGCAAGGAAGCAGCAAGCUUAAUUAGGCAUGCUUCCCUCCGUAGAGCGGAAACCGUACGUGGCUCCCAAUGAGGUGUCAUGAGCAAAAAAACACAAACAAUAACGAGGACUAUAUAUAGAGAGAUGAUUAAAGUAAAGUUGAGAUGGACUCGGAGAAUCAGAGGACCACGGUUGGGCAAGGUGCAUGUAGGUGCUCAUGUCCAAAUAACAGAACAUGACAGUGGGGGAUGGAGGGUUAUACUCCCUUCGUCCGGAAAUACUUGUCGGAGAAAUGGAUAUAUCUAGAUGUAUUUUAGUUUUAGAUACAUCCGUUUUUAUUCAUUUUUCCAAUAAGUAUUUUCAGACGGCGGGGGUACGUUGCGACAUGGGUGACCGUUGUGUAAAAGUUAAGAUUUUUUGCUUGGUCCGACAUGCGUAGUUUAAAAAUCAAAACCAAGAACUUUUGCCCUUCAAGAUUUUGGUGACGCAACAUCGCAAAAAAGAAGGGUUUUGGUGACGCGAAAGAGCUAGGCGAUGAUGUGAUCGCCCGUCAAGGUUUUGGUGACGUGACACCGCAAAAAAAAAGGUUACGGUGACACGAAGGAGCUAGGCGAUGAUGUGAUCAAAUGGUUCCUUUAGUGGAGUACAAAAUUAAGAGCAACUAACUUUUUCUUCCAAUCUCAAGCAGAUCUUUCUUUCUCUUAUUCACAACAUUACAAAUCUUAUUUGAAGUUGUACGCUGCAAAUCCAUAAUUGGUAGAUCUGGCUAUCAUGAGCAUAGACGCAACAAGGAUUAUAUGGAUUCCUCGAUCAGGCAGUGGCGUUGGUUGGCCUGGGGACGUACUUGCGGAGCCAGAUCUGACGAUGUCUGAUGGAGAUCUUGACGAGCCUCUCGCCAUUGAGCACUAGCUUCACGAUCGCCUCCGUCUUGAAGAUGAUCCGGCCGUACAUGGGCAUGAGGCCUCCCUUCGUCUUCUCCAUGAGCACCCUGACCACGCAGUCACCCCACUUCCUGCACCCAUGCACCUCCAAUCAUCAGACAUGAUCAUCAUGCAUGCAUGCAGAUCUUAGUAGAUCCACGUAUAUAAACUUAAUCAUUCUCAGUGGACACUUACUCUCUGAAGUACUCAAAGAUCUCCUCACGAUGGGGGGGCAUGCCCUUGGAAAAGGUGAUGAACAUAGAACGGCAGUCCUCCGGCACGGCCACAGGCUGGGUGUAGGGUGCCAUGAGCUCCGGCGGGUUGCCCACCAGCCCAGUCUCAGACUUCCAGAGCAGGACGUGCAGGCGGUCAUUGAAAACGAACUUGCCCGCACCGUCGAGGAAGUGGGCAACGCCGCGGACGACGAGGUCCUGGUGGAAGGCGAAUAAGCCCGGGUCGAUGCGGACGCCGCCUUGCAUGCAGAGCGCAGAGAUGAGCGGGAUGGCCGGGACCGCAGGCACCUGGUUGCGGAGCCACUCGAGGACGGCGUUGGCCUCCCACGCCAUAACGGCAACAGCGUCGGAGCCGAUGGCUGGGACGAAGUGGAUGGCGGAGAUGGUGCCCUGGUCCAGCCACACCAGCAGCGCCACCGCGUUCUGGGCCUUCUCCGGGCUGCCGCACACGGAUAGGAGCCGCUCGUACGCCUGCCGCACGGCGCUGUACAUGUACAGCACCUCGCGCACCGUCACGACCGCCAUGGUUGCUCUGGUAAGUUGGUUGCUUACACCGGCCGGCUGGAGAAGGUAGCUAGCUAGCUCUAGCUAGGCGGUGGAUGGCCUGCCGGAGAGGAGCGAGAAAGAGAUGAUGGGUCAAUGGGGAAUGUGCCGGUAUUUGUAGGUUCUCCUGCUCCUGGUCCGGCGAUGGGGCUAGCGGGAAACAGCUCUCUUUGAAUCAGUUUCGAACGCCAGCGUACACGUAGUUGCUCUUCGUUCGUUUGCUGGUUUUACAUCCUUUUUUUGAUUUUUAGUUCGUUUUACAUCCUAAAACGUAUACACUGUCAUUGCUUAACCACUUCGGAUGCGGCACAGCACUUGUAUAUCAUGCUAAAUUUGCACUACCUUUUUUGGUACUGGUUAAUGUUAUACUCAUCAGUGAUCACAUGUUAUAUUUUUCUUUUCGAUUUCAUAUACAUACACAUAUAAAGCACAUUAUAAUUUCUUACUUUCUAUAUAAACUUUGUUGUCUAGACCCAUCGACCACUUCCACCAUCUAGCUACGUUUCCCCACGCAUCCUCGACCCACAAUCCUUAUAUAUAGCAUCAAUGGUGCAAGCGUCAAGUCGAGGCAUCACUGCACCCUGAUUAUAUGGGUGUGACUAUGUGCCGCUCACAGUGAGUCCUAGCCAUGGCUCGCCUGCAGGGAGCCGUACUUUUUCACAUCCUUAUGGAUUAGCUUGGUUUCACAUCCUUAUGUGUCCUAGUAAAAACCGAAGAAAACCAGUAAAAACCAAAGAAAGAAACAAAAACCGAGAAAGAAAGAAAAAAACAAAACCAAACAAAACAUACAACGAAAAAGAAAAAAAGGAGGAAAACCAAAGGGAAAAAACAUAAAAAAAAACUAUGAAAAACCGAAGGCAACCGUGCCAAACUGUGGCGUCAGAGGCGAGACGUAACUCCGCCUCGCAACAGACAUAUAUAGCUCUCGGGCGAUUAGAUUGCGAGCAACCUUUUUUUAGGCAAUAUUGCAAGCUAGCUACAAUGACAGAGCUUUGGCAAGGCCAUCCUGGGCCACUUCUUCCCAGCGUUAGAUUUUUUUCUUCUGAAUACCUAUUGUUAAAUGGGCUAAAUCUCUACUAAAACCAGUCCAAAAUUUCCUUUCUUGCCCUCAAAGUCCAUUUCCCACCUGGAUCAUGGCCCAAGCUCUGCUAUUGGGGAGAUAAGCCCAGCCCAUCCGGGAGUCCACUGCCCGUUUAGAAACCAAGGUGCUAAACAAACCAAGGCCUAACAAGCGGAGAACAACCAAUACUCCAAGAUCAUCUAAAAAAAACUCCAAGAGAGUCUCAUCCUGUGGAUUAGUUUGGGUUAAGAUCCUUAUGCAUACAAGUAAAUGUAAAGCACGUAGGUGUUGCGAAAUGUAAUAUUUUGCGAGGGAAAUAUACCAAUUUUAUUUAUUGUAUAAUUAAAUUGCUAAUAUUCAUUUGCUUGGUUUCUCUAAGAUCCAUAUACACACAUAGACAUGGAAAUAUUACAAAUAUGCUAUUUUCAUAAUAUUUUCAGAGAAAGAUAUAUACACAUGGGUGGGUGUGACUUUAAGUAUCAUCAACUGAACUACGACUAGCGCGAACUGAGCGUAGCUCAAAUGGUUUGCUUCCUUGUGUGGAACUAACCAACCAGGGUUUAAGUCUUAGGCUUGGCAUUGAUGGUCACAUUUUUCUGGAUUUAUUUCAGGCCUUCCGGCGAUAUGCUUUUAGUGGUAUGAAACAUUCCCGUCGACUAUGAAAGCGGUUAUGAAGACUUCAUCAAUCUCAAGAUGCUGUUCUGGCCUAUUUUCUCGGAUGUGCUCAUAGGAGUAGGCUAUGCAUGCUUGCGUUCAUAGGAAUGAGUGUAUGACAGUCUGGUCUAAACUGUGUUAAAAAACUAUAAUUAGCGGAGUCGUGCAAUUCAUUAAUAAGUUAUUUUGCCAUCGCAUAUUUUUCAUGUUUUGAAAAUGUGUCCGUUCCAGAGGUUGUACAGCUGCACGCCUCUCUCUCUCUCUCUCUCUCUCCUGCUUGCUGGUUGCUGAUAGUACAACUCAUGUGAACAUGCCGAAACUUUCUAGGCAGAGGUGGGAGAAUCACACGUAUGUAUAAGGGCAUACAGUGGUUGCUAAGACAAUCUUACCAUAAACCUAACACGUAUUAUAGAGAUGACAAUGAAAGCAUGAUGUAGAAUUGAUUAUCUUUGCUAACUAGCUAUAGCUAAAAAUGUAGAGAGAGAUAUAACAACUAAAAUAUCAAAAAUCCUUUUCUCAGCCCGGGCUCAUCUACACCCGCGUUGAAUAAAAAAAUCAAAACAAGUACUAGAAAAAUGCAAAAACAAAAUCCAUGGUAGACAAUUUGAUGCGUAAGGUCCGCCCCAAUUUUCAAAUCAUUUGGACGACUGAGCAACUCUCGGCAAAAAAGACAAAUUUGGGGUCUGUAAAAUAGUUUACUGUUUUGACCCGAUUUAUCUUUUUUGCUGAGAGCUACUCAGAUGUCCAAAUGAGCUAAUAUUUGGAGCGAACCUCACGCAAUAAAUUGUCUACCAUGCGAAAAAAUUGGAUUUUUUGAAUUUUUUAGUAUUUAUUUUGAUUUUUUUCUGACCAGGUGCAGAUGAGUCUGGGCACCGAAUCGCUGCACUCCUAAAAUAUAUCUCUGGACGUCUUCCUCCUUUUCUCAUGUUUGACUAUGCUCUUCAAGUCCUCCGAGUUACUUCCCUACAACUAAUGUUUUAGAUGAAACGAGGAAAAAUAUAUAGUUUAUGAUAUUUUCACAAAAAAAAUAUAGUUUAUGAUAGUUAGACUGUGUUCUUUCUUACAUAGCAGAGUUAUUGGUACAAUGUGCACUGUAUUUAUAUUUGACCUAAGUAUACAAUACAACAGACAUUGCAAGGAAAAAAAACUUUAUAUACAGCGAUAAAGGAUAAAAAUGGUGCGGCAAUGCGCGCCUUUGCUUUUACUAGUAGUUUGGUUAGCCAGGGCAUCGGUACGUGGAGAUGUCGACGGCGACCGUGGUAGAGCCGAAGUGCUAAUAAUUUUUUGGCAAACCAGUGUCAGCGGUUUGGGCAUUUCACUCCUUCAUUUCUCACUUCUCACGAUCACACACAACAUCAAAGUAGAUCAAUACAAAUACUAUAGUACUACAAGUCCUGGGAGGCUCUCUUUCUCAUUAUUUUUGUAUACUAUAUUUUCUCUAUCUUAUUAUCUUUGUAUAAUAAUUUUUAAAUGUAUCUCUCAUCUUCGCUCGUAUAUAUAGUUUGUCCUAAUAGGACACCAUGUUCUCGUAAAAAUCCCGUAAGAGUUGUUUACAAAUACAUUUCAUACAGGAGUAUAAAGAUGAAUAUUGACAAAGAUCAACAGGUAUGGGGAUGAUCCAGCUUUACCCCAAUGGUGUGGUCACCUUUGCUGCAUAUGGGUAUUUGUUUUACUGCAAUGAUGCUCCUGAAUCGGUGAUCAACAAACUGAUGGAGGGUCAUGAACUCACAUUGCCGAUGGAGAUUCAAUCUGAUUUGUGUAGUUGCUUUGGAUGCCUUGGUAGGAAUAAUACUUGAUUAUGCCUAGUGCGAGAAUGUAUUUGACAGCUCGUGUUACCGAAAAAGGCUUUCGCCUCGCUUUAUAUAUAAAGUAAAGAUCACCAACAACCCGGCACAACACACACCACCAGAACACAUGCACACACCCAAGGCAGGAUACAUAGGCCAUGAGCGCAGCAACACCACCCCUAGCAAUACAUGAGCUACCGGGGGCCUCAACCGCGGACAUGCCACCGCGAAGAGAAGAAGCUACAUACGACGCACCGUGGGCUCCAAGGCGGUGCCUACAGGAAGGUUACGACACCGAAGCGCCGCCACCGCCCGACCCAAGGAUCGAAAUUUCCCCUGGAGCAACACGACGGGCAGUGAGAGCCGCAGCGACGCCUUCAAGAAGGGAAUGAGCUUCUCCGCCGCCGGUCCGUCUGAAGAUAGAACAGGUUUUGACCUCGGCCAAUAUUCACUGCCACCGAACACCACACCCUGGCUACCACGCCGCCCAUACGACCAUGGCCACCAGGCAGCACCAAGCCACGGGCUUUGCCUAGGAGCACGGCGACACCACCACCAGGGCCGCCGCCCCGGCAUCCAGGACCAUGACGCCACCUCACCCGCCACCCACCGCUACCCAACCAAAGAGACGAGUGGAAAGAACCGCCUUUCGCACCCCUGAGUUGUCCGGACUUAAUUGUACUCUGCUAUUUUUUCGUUCAUUGAUCAAAGGGAUUUAAGGUGUGAAGUUCCAUUAUAUGGGAGUGAGUCGGGUCAUCUCUUUUCCAUGCAUCUAGCUAACGUAGUUGGGUCUUCUCUUUUCUCUUCCUCGGGUAGCAAUCCUUAAGAAAUUUAGGGUUAGCUAGCUCAUGUACCAAUCGAUCCAUCCUUCGUCCAGCUUAAUUCAUCCAUCCUUCAUCUAGCAUACUACAUGUAGUUUCACACACUUAUAUAAAUUGAUACGACUGUAUGUAAAGAAACAAUGUGUGUCUAUUUAAAACUUUUUUGCCUUAUUUCCUAGGUAGUUGGGCCGGCUAGGUUGCGUGGUCUAUGAAAGGCCCAGACAUCAAAACGACAUGUGUUUGUAAGGCACGAGUAAAAAUCCAAAAAGAAAGAUAAGUUGAAGGAUCGAACUCACGAUUUUAAAGACCCGACCAAGUGCUGCCAGCCACCUGUACAAACACAUACUGCUAACCAAUGGCCACUGCAAAAUAUUUAAGAACAUAAUGCAGCAUCAGAUGCAAUUUUUUUGAUAUUCUUAACUUCUCAAAAAUAAAAAUAAUUAUGUAUUGCGAAUUUCCUUGCAAACAUAAAUAAUUUUUGAAAUCACCAACAGUUUAGAAAAUGCAAACAAUGCUUUAAAAUUUCAUACAUUUUAAAAAACACUAUUUUUUAAAAUGGGCACAUUUUCCAAAUAUAAUAAUAUUUAUUGAUUGUUUUAUAAAAACAUGAACAUUUUUUGAAUUUGUGAUUUGUGUUUGAAAACGGGAACAUGUUUCGAACAUUCAGAUUUUUCUAGAAAAUGUGUAUUUCUUAAACACGGACAUUUUUUGAAUUAUUGAACAUUUCACUAAAACAAGAAUAUUUUUAAAUUUGGAACAUUUUUAAAAUGCAAUUGUUUUGAAAAUUUUGAACAAUUUUGGAAAAGGCAAACCUUUUUGGAAAAAGGGAACAAGGUUUUCAUUUUAAGAAAUUCCGGGUCAUUUUCCAGCUAGCUCACAUACCAAUCCAUCCAUACUUCAUCCAACUUAAUCCAUCCAUCCAUCAUCCAGCUUACUAAAUAUAGUUUUGCACACGUAUAUAAAUUGGUAUGACUGUAUUUAAAGGAGCAAUGUGGGACUAUUUAAAAAAAACCUUGAAUUUGUGAACAUUUCACGAAGACAAGAAUAUUGUUCAAAUUUGGACCAUUUUCGAAAAUGCAAGUUUUUAUUGGAAAAUCUCAAACAAUUUUUGAAAACACAAUCUUUUUUGAAAAAAUGGGUAUAUUUUUUAAAUUUUGAACAAUGUUUUGGAACGAGAACAAACAUUUAAUGUUCUGAAUUUUUUCAAAAUGGGAAAACAAUUUUGGAAUUCUGAACAUUUUUCGAAAAUUUGAACAAAAAUUGAAAUUGUUAAUUUUUUGAAAGUUUUGAAUUAAGAAAAAGGCAAAAAAGAAAAUAAACUUGAAAGGGAUAAAUAUAAAAAAGAAACAGGAAAGAUAAAGAGAAAGAAACAGAAAAACAAAAAUAGAAAUAGAACACAUAAGAAAGGAAAAGGGGCUGGCCCAAUCUUGGCCACCCUGUGCGAAGCUUGGGCUAUUUUUUGCCACGUGUGGCAAAUAGGGUAUUCCCGGCAAAAAUAAAUUGAGGGGGAAUAUAUGGUGGGUAGGGUAUUCCUAGCUGCGUGGCAUGAAAAUAAGUGGGCUGACUUUAAUGGGCCAAAACGCGCGACCGAUGUAUGCAAUUCUAGACAAAUUGUUUUUCUUUUUCUAGGAGACGAACACACAAAAAUUUAGUACCACCUUGAAUAAUAAAAAAUUCUUUUCGGCGCUGAAGGAUGAAAAAAAAUCAAAUAAACACACCUUGCUUUAUUAAUAGGUAUAUAGAAGAAUUACUGCUAGCAGAGUAGGCACGAAUCUCAGGAUAUGCACCUAUAGCACGGAUGCUUACAUACUUUUUCAUUUACAGAGUUGAAAGUUUUGUACCAGUGGGCAUAGCAAAAUGUAUCAAUCUCAGGACAUGCAUUUAUAGUACUCUCUACGAUCUAAAAUAAGUGUCAGGGUUUUAGUUAAAAUUUAAACUAAACUUGAACUAAAACCAUGACACUUAUUUUGGAUCAGUGGGAGUAAUCAUUAACAUCACAUGGUAUAGGUUAAAAUUAAGCAUUGCACACGGACAUCCAGAUUAAGCAUUCCAAGGGGAAUUAUGACACACUUUUAAAAGUAUCAAAGCAGUGGUUAGGUCAUUACAUAUCAAGCAAUCAUAUCAAUAUAAUCAAGCCAUUUACUAAUGUCACAAGUUCUUUUCUUUAGGUGAAAGAAGGCAACCAUGCAUGUUAAAAGAACCUGCGGCGGUGCCAGGCCCCAAGCAGUCGUGUCCGUGGCUUGGGGCGUGCUCCCUCGUUUCUUCGUUCCCUAUUUGGCAUUGUAGCUAUGUUGUUUGUCUGUGGCGUUCCUCUGCUUGGCACUGCCACUGAAAAAACAGAAAUGGUCAUGCAACAUUUCCAAAUGAGUAAUUAUUCAAUCUACUUGUACACAUACUUUUUUAUUGAAUCCCCUAAGGCAAUUUGCCAAAUACUGAACCUUAAUACUAAUGAUCAAAUUAAUGGUCAUUGUAUAGAAAUCUCAUUACUAGUAGAAUGCCCAUGCGUUGCCACGGGCUUUUGACAAAAUUUAAGAUGCUACUCAUGAAACUAAAAUAACUAAGAACAAUGUUGUCUCAGCUAACACAAUUUUUUUGAUAAUCAACUAACAAACAUCAUACUAUCAAAGACAAUAAUGUGGUCAGUCAAAGGAAGGAGAAGGAGAGGUUGCUGUUCUAAGAGAGGAAUUAGGGAAGAAAAAUGAUUUGGUUGCAGAAAUUAGAGCUAUAUGUGCUAGGAAAGAUGAGAUGCAUAUGUACAAGUCUCUCUUUUAUGGCAUGCUAUUAUUUGUUGCUGGUUUAGUUGCAGGGUUUCUGAUAUGUCAAUAGUUCCUGUGAUAGGAAAGAUUAGAGCUUGGUAAUGAUGUAUUGAAUGAGUGGUCUUGCAAUGUAAUGGAUCUGUUAAAUGUUGAGUAAGGAGAUGGAAAAUCAGAGUGAUCAUGUUGGCAACAUAUAUUGUGUUUAAAUUCUGAAUGUAAGUGCAAGUGCAAAUGGAAGAUACAUUGCAAAAGUACUGCUGACUAAAAUAUGAUAGGAAAUAUAAGUGCAAAUGCAAAUGAAAUUGACAUUACUCUAGGGCUUGCUUUUCACAACAUAUUUUGUUGUCUGAAAUAAAACAUUUGAAAGUAAAUGUGGAUGCAAAUGAAAUUGGCAACAUAUCUUGGUAUCAUGUCAAAUUGGCAACACAUAUAUAAUGCACUGUGCUUGACAACAAGUUCAUAAUGCUAGUAGAAAAUAGUUUAAAAGUGACAGCCAUAGCUAACCAUUGACGCAAGUUCAUAAUGCCUGCUCCACAUAGUUCCCAAGUGACAGCAAAGGCAAAAGAUUAACAGAAGUUAACACAGUAAUCAUAAUAACACCAGCUUCCAUUAACACAAUUGCUAAAGAUCGUAACCAUUAGCUCGAAAACAUCUUUAGCAAUUGCCACUUGCAGAAAAGUAUGCACCCCACCCUGAUGUUGCUGGUCCUCUCCCUGCUGUUGCUGCUCCUCUCCUUGGUGCUGAUGCUCCUCUCCCUAUUGUUGCUGCUCCUCUCCCUGUUGUUGAUGCUCCUCUCCCUGAUCCUCUCCUUGUUCCUCUCCCUGCUAGUGCUUGUGAGAUUGUUGGAGCUUGUGAGCUUGCUGCUUUUGCUCUGCUUUUUGAUGCAUCAGUCUGUGCUUGCUGCAAACAAAGCAGAGCAAUGAAGACAUGCAUAGUUGAAAAUUAGAGGAAAUACAAGUAGGAUUUUACAUAGUAGAAAAGCAGAGAUGUGCAUGCUAGUACCUCUAUUUCUCUCUGAUUUCUCCCUCUCUUGCCAAGAUGUGAUCUUGUUUUUUUGGUUGUAUCUCCAUUCUUUUUACAAGAACUUUUGUUGUGUCCCUGACCCCCACAGGUCCCACAAGUUAUCUGACAGUCAUGCUUGCUCAACUUCUUACCCUUAGGUGCUUCACCCUCUUCUCUCGUCCUAUCAUUGUUGUUUUUCCUAGCUCCUGGCAUGGCAAUGUAGCCAGCUGCCAUAGGCCUAGGCUUAUCAGAAAUAGGUCAGGUUUCUUCUCCUUGAACAGGAAGUAGACAAUUCUCAUAUAUUUUGUUGAAUGUUUCUAUGUAGUAGCACUUGUCAAUAUACUCCUCUAUAUUUCUCCUACUCUUGUAGAUAGCUACAAUGGCAUGACAACAAGGCAGACCUGCCAACUGAAAAUAACCACAGGUGCAGUUCCUCCUUUCAAGAUUCACCGUGUGUUAUUUUUUCUCCCUUUCAUGUGUCUCACCACAAAGCCAUCCUUGCCAUUCCAUAGCACCUCAAUGUACUGUAUCAUCUUAAUACUGACAUUCAAUUUCCUCAAAAUAUUGGGGCAAAUUUUACCCUUCCUCUUCGCACUUUUGGAUCUCUGCUCUUGCACUCUGACCAACACCUUCUUUCUUAUCAUUUCUUGUUGUGAGAUAAUGGGAUAGAACCUUGCUUCUAUAAUGGAAUUGUUGAAUGACUCACACAGAUUGUUAUCAACUGAUUCACAGUUUGCUCCAGGUGGGAAAAAUGCCCUAGCCCAAUGCUUUGGCUCUGUCCUCAUGAUGUCCUUAGCACCUUCUGGAGUAAGUUGUGCGAGCUUGGCCUUGUUGUAAUUAAAAUCCUCUCUGUUUCCAGACUUAGCAAUUGCCCAAAAUCUUUUCUGGAAUUCAUGGUCCUUGUGCUUCCUCCUCCAAUUGGCAUAAAUGUGUCUAGCACACAUCAUGUGCUAUGCCUUGCGCAAAUAGUCCCUGAUGCUGGUGAUCAAGCCCUAAAACAAUACAAAAGAAUCCAUGUUAUUAAAGAAAUCCAUGUUAUUAAAGAAUUGGAAAUGUCAUUAUUAAAGUAAGCUAUGUUAUUAAAGAAAUGCAUAUCUCAUUAUUAAACAAAACCAACUAUGUUACCUAACCCUACCCAUUUGUCGCUUCGACGAUGUGACCCACCUUUUUUGCACACCCACCCUAACCCUACCCAUUUGUCGCUUCGACGAUGUGACCCACCCUUUUUGCACAUCCACCCUAUCCCUACCCAUUUGUCGCUUCGACGAUGUGACCCACCCUUUUUGCACACCCACCCUAACCCUNNNNNNNNNNNNNNNNNNNNNNNNNNNNNNNNNNNNNNNNNNNNNNNNNNNNNNNNNNNNNNNNNNNNNNNNNNNNNNNNNNNNNNNNNNNNNNNNNNNNNNNNNNNNNNNNNNNNNNNNNNNNNNNNNNNNNNNNNNNNNNNNNNNNNNNNNNNNNNNNNNNNNNNNNNNNNNNNNNNNNNNNNNNNNNUGUGACCCACCUUUUUUGCACAUCCACCCUAACCCUACCCAUUUGUCGCUUCGACGAUGUGACCCACCCUUUUUGCACACCUACCCUAACCCUACCCAUUUUUGUCGCUUCAGCGAUGUGACCCACCAUUUUUGCACACCCACCCUAACCCUCACCCUACCCAUUUGUCUCUUCGACGAUGUGACCCACCCUUUUUGCACACCUACCCUAACCCUACCCUAUUUAUGAAAUGAAUGCAGUACAUUAAAAUUACCUUCUGCUGGUCAGAAAUGAAGACCCGUCCUACUCCUUGGCCAUUGAUAUCCAAGUCUUUGAUCAACAGUGCAAUGAACCAGUUUCAGCUAUCAUUGGUCUCGUUCUCCACCACUGCCCAAGCAACUGGGUACAUUUGAUUAUUAGCAUCCCUUGCAAUUGCAGCCAACAAUUCACCUUGACAUGAUCCCUUGAAAAAGCAGCCAUCUGGUCCAAUGAACUUCCUACACCCUGCUUUAAAGCCCUGCUUCAUUGCAUUAAAGCAAACAUAGUACUGCUGAAAUAAGUUAUGUACCAUAUCUGUUGGAUCUAAAGUUAUGGCCACUGUACUUGCAUGGUUGCUCCUAAGCAGUUCCAAUUGGUAGCCAAAGACCUUUGUGUACUCACUUUUCAUCCCACACAUGAACUUAUCCAGCACAAUUUUCUUUGCUGCCUUGCAUUUUGAAACUGACACAUCAGCAAACAUGUCUUUGAGCACUGUGGCUUUAAUGCUGUCAAUUUUCCAAAGUGGAUUGGCUAUGCUGAUGUGCUCAUACCUUUUUGAAAUAACCUUGGCAGUAACAAGCUUGUUCUCUCUGUGCUAUGCACACUGGUGUUCAUCUUCAAUGGUGAAUAUUUGAAACCUAGAACAUCUACUUGUCUUUGCUGCAUACAACAUCCAUGGGCAACCAGUCCAGUCACAUUCGGCUCUCAUCCUCUGUUCCUCAGAUUUUAAGAAAGAGAUGCUCCUUUUAGUAGCAAGGCCAUACCUUUUCACUGCUUUUACCAACUGCUUCUUGCUUUUGAAAACCAUUCCCAAACUAAAUUAUGGAAUUUCUGAUUCAGGAUUAAGCCUAAUGUAUUGAUUGUUCCUCCUCACCAUCUGGCCAUCUUCAUCUUCAUCAUAGGAGUAGUCCUCAUGAGAGGACUCAAACUCCAUGUCCUGUACAGCUUCUUCAACAUUAGCCACUAGCUCAAUAGGCACUGGACCUGAUGACUCCUUUGCAAACCAAAUUUCCGAAGCUUUCAUCAUCUUCUUAAAUUUUCUGGCAUGCUUUCUCAACUCUACUAUCUCUGAUUCCUCCCCACUUUCAUCAGUAUGUGCCACAUAAUUAGGGUCAUCUGAAUCCUCAGAGUCUUCACCACUUUCUACAUCUUCUAGAAUUGGAGAUACAGUUUGGCUAGCAGCAACUGCUGAGAUCCAUUGAUUACUUAAGAACCUUAGGAAAGAUCAUCACUUCUGAAAUUAUGCUUCAUAUGGCUGCUUAUCACUUGAGUAACCACUCCACCUUCAUUUGGAACCAGUAUAUGUUCCAAAAUGUCUAAAUUUUCUAGUGAACCCACUUGCUGCACAUUGCUUUGGAUAACUUCUUCUUCUUCUGCAGUGAUAAUUGCAUCUGGUUCAUCCUCACUGCCAUUGUUCACCAGGUCAUGCAGUUCAUCUAAUUCAAAAUCGGACGCACUAUCUUCUUCCCCUGGCUCAUCUUGCUCACCAUUGUACUCCACCAAAAUAUCAGCAACCCCUGCAUCUGUAAUGUACUCUGACAUCUUCAAGCAACCUUGAUUAGUAUGUAGAAACACUAAUCCAUUAUCCAAAUCUCUCCCAGGCAUAAGAAAGUACAACUUCAUGCUGUCUUUGACUGUUAAAUGAUCAGCUAAAAACCCUUUUUUAUCUCAGGCAGGGACAACUUAUCCCUCUCAAUCACUGACAUUGCAGUAUCUCCUCCAACAUAAUCAAGAGAGGGGCCAAUACGGAUGAACUGCCCCCCAUAGUGAUACCUGACAUUCAGCACAUCUGCUGGAUCCAUGACUUGAACAAAAAAACCUACAGUGCAAUAUGUACAUUCAGAAACAAACAAUGAGUGCAGUAUUCAAUUUCAGUGCUUGAUUUAACUAUGAAAAGUGCAUUCUGAAACAUAAUGCAGUAUGGAUUACAUUCAGUGCAAGAUUUUCAUGCAAAAACAUGCAUUCAGUGCAAGAUUUAGCUUCAUAAAAAACACUAAUUUGGCCCAUGAUUUUGCUGUGCGAUAAUCAAUAUAACAUACUGCAGAAGCUGAAGAAGAAACCUACUGCAGAAGAAACCCACACGAUUUGACACAUUCAGUCAUCGCAAUUAGGGUAGGUGAGUAAAAAGGCUAGGAAAUCAUAACAUCCUACAAUGCAUAUCAUGAAUCAGUACAUGUAUAACUCGUUGCCCCAAAAACAAUUGAUUAAACACGCUACAAAUUUCCCCCAAAACCCCACCUUUCACCCCCCGUAAAAUACCAAACCUAACUCCAGGAGGGAAGAAAUAAAGCCCGCAGAUCGUUCUCGGGUGAAGAGGAUGUCACACAUGUUACUUUGCCACCGGCGUGGUAGUAUGAGGUCGCCGCGAUCAUCCGCUGAGCCUCGCCAUUGCCGCCGCGUGAGGAAGCUCGUGCGUCGGGAGAGAAGGGGAAGGGGCGCUACGUCGAGAGAGCGAGGAGCGCUGCGAGCUGGUCCGGCUCAACCAUUUAGUGCUUCCAGCGACCAACGGGACCCACAACACCUUGCUGAGUCAGCGACCCCGGCCUUCCCCCGUUUGGAUACGAUGAUAAGGGCAUAAACAACCGGGAUUAGAGUUGGGGGUGCCGAUUUCCGGGAUUUGGAGGUAGGGGUUUAAAACCGACGACACGUACGAGUUCAGGGUUUAAAACAGACUUCACUCUAUUUUAAACUUUUCAAAUUAAGUCAACAUUUUUUCUAAUGUAUUCAAGAAGAUGAGAAGCUACACCUAAAGCUACGAAGUUAUUUCAGUACUACCCUAUUUAUAAUAUGUAAACAUGUGAUUUUAUAAUUUUAUCCAAAAGGUGUGUCCUGCCCUCUUUUGUUUUUAAUGUAACAAAAUGUGUGAUAAGAGAUAUCAUGUCUAUUAGUUAUGUUGGUUUGAUUGUUAUAUUCUUAUUGUAAGAUGGUGUAAAAUUAGACUUUAUAUUUAGUCAAUUUGUAUCAAAUCGUUAUAACAAGUUAAUGAGUAAACCCAAUGGCUAAAUUUUCUGGCUCCACCUCUGCUUAUGAUCUCCGCUAUUGACACACCUAGUGGCAAUAUUCUCUUCACUUAUGCAAUCGCACUGCAAUACUUUGUAACAGAGUUUGAGAUGGUGUAUAGCUAGCGAUUUGACACUAUGAUCAUGUAUCGUAUGCAAGUUGUAAGGCACGAAAUAUUUUUCUCAUGAAACCAAAGAAUGCACAUUUAGCCAAAACACCCGGACAGCAUUGGCAGGGGCCGAAGGAUACCUAACUACGGACGGAUCCAGGGUGGACGGCGAUGUAGUCCAGGGUGGGCUGACGCGUGGGGGCGGGAGAGGGGGCGGCGGACGCCCGACAAGGCUUGAUUAGCGGAUGGAGCGGUACACUGAUAACAUCGGACAAGGAAAAUUUGGGCGCGGACGCAUCCGCACACACGUUUGGAUGGCAAAAACGUCCGGAUCCACGUUGGAGAUGCCCUUAGUUUUCCCGUCCCCACAUGUCAGCCUCCCGUCCUUUUCCCUCUGCCCGUAGCACUCUACUAGCAGUGCCGCCGCACGCGGGUGGAGAAAGGGGGAGCUCGCCCGCCGCCGUCACCGCCGGCGAUCGCCAACGCCCCCUCUCUCCCUCUCCCUGAUGCUUGCGGAGGCAACGCCGAUUCAUCGCCUUCGCCGGAGGAGGCGAGAUGCUGGCGCCGGCGCUCGCGCUGCCGUUCCCUGAUGCGAACGCGCCUCUACUUCAAACCCCGACGAGCACCGCAAGUGUCUCUAGGAGGUAGGCUCCCCGCUUCGUUCUGCUGUCGUUGGUUUCGCAUCGAGCCGGCGUUGCGUGCUCGGGACUGGAUCCAUGUGCUGCCACUCAACCCCUUAUAGACUAAGUAUUAUUGUGCGUAUUUAGUUUUGCUGGCUGUUUCUCCGUAUACGCUAAGUAUUUUGUAUACUUUGCUCUGUACGUAUUCAGCCUCUUAUAGACUGGGUCCAAUAGACCCAAAGUGGUCGGACUCUUCCGCGGACCCGCGCAAGCAGGAGCUACCUGCACCUGGCUGCCCUGUUUUACGUAUUCCUGUGGAAUGUGCUGCUUAUGUUCCAUCGAGUGGAAUUGUUAAAAGAAAAUAGCAACAUAUAUUAGCUUACUGAUGAGUCACCUGAUGGUGUGUGUACCUUGUUCAUCUUAAUUUCUCUGAAGAUGCAAGCGAACUCACAAUCCUGGUUUCUGAUAAAGUAUACACCUGCUGGCAAAAUGCAGGAGGCUUUAUCUUCAGGAACCUGAAGAUGUCGGCAUUCAGGAUCUCCAGCUCUUCUUCGCCUUCGACAUUGGUUUCGCCGGAUUGGGGGCGAUGGCCGGCACGGAUCUGAGAUGGCAAGCCAUGACCGGAGUGGAAGCUCAAGUGCUUUCCUUUAAGCUAGAAAUGGAAGACAAUAGAUUCAGAGAAUUGCCUCCUUGCUGCAAUGCUUUUACUCAAGUUGGCAUGUCUGAACUACGUAAUGUAAAACCAAUGAACUGAACAGCAUGGGAUGGGCCAUAACAUUGGUUUAGAGUGUUGAGUAAUUUUGCCAACCAUAGGGCAUUGGGGUUGAGUAUGCAUCUAACUAUCUACUCCCUCCAUUCCUAAAUAUUUGUCUUUUUAGAGAUUUCAAAUGGACUACCAUAUACGGAUGUAUAUUGCCAUAUUUUGGAGUGUAGAUUCACUCAUUUUGCUCCAUAUGUAGUCACUUGUUGAAAUCUCUAGAAAGACAAAUAUUUAGGAACGGAGGGAGUACAAGUUAUGAGUAUUCAGCAGAAAAACUCUGUUCUGGAUCAAUUUCCUGAACAGAGCAUCGACUCCACUCCUCUUCAGUCCAACUCAAGUGCCGGCAAUUGCUGCUCUUCAGUUUUGGAAUGUGCUGGAGAGAAGCGGGCACCUGCCAAGCAAACUGCUUUGACAAGAGCUGCAGUGUAGAUCUGAAGCUACAGGACUGUCAUUUUCUUUGCUGCUGCAAGUAGUAUGAUCACCCCUCAGUCCUCCAUAACCGUCUUCCCGAUGUACCUGAAAUGUUUAUGUGCUUUCUUUGCUAAUUGGGUGUACCGUGUAGGACUGAAUAUUGUCCUGAAAGAUGCAGUAUCUCCUCUUUUCAGAAACAAGUGCAGUUCUUUGAUGGUGGAUGCUGGUCUUCAACGCUGAGAAACUUUCUUCAUUGCAUUUCAGAGGAAAAGGAGCAGGAGAGACUGCUCGAGUUCUUCCCCCACUUGCUCUGCCUGCUGAGUUUGACAGAGGCUAACUUGGCCUCUAGGCAAGCACACGAUCUUCUUGAUUCUGUUAUAAAAUGCGUCCAACUUUUCUCAUACAAUGGCAUAUUAUUUCAAUUGUCAGGGAGGGUGAAGAGAUGACUGUGUUUAGGCUCUGAAGUUGUUCUUCGAUUCAGAGUUCAUUAGAGUGAGGGCUAGAAGGCACACUGGCAGACCUUACAUGAUUGGGGCAGCAGCUCUAGUGCUAUUUUCCAGAUGGAAAGGAAGCGAAGAUGAACAACACUUGGCUACCCUCACAUAUAGUGCAGAAGUAGAAGAGUCUACAGACAAUAGGAAUCUUGGUCAGUUGAGUCAUGAGAGUUUGCCACUCAUCUUCAAGGCAAGUUUAUGCUGCUCUGCUGUCAUCUUAUAGUUUCAUACCUCUACGAAUGAGUAUAUGGGCCUGUCAUGUCUAAAUUAUCAGAGGCAAACUCACACACGAGGAUCAGUUUUUCUUUUCUUUUUUUGUGUUAGAUCUAGAUAGUGUGAUCAUGUACAUGAUGACUAACCCGCUUCAUGCUUUUCUGCUGGCAUGCUAUGUACAGCCGUGUCUUAGUUGUUAGUGACAAACUCAUCUGCACGAGGGUGUGGUUGGUGCUAGCUGGUGUCAUUGACUUCAUCAGCAUGUUCCAGGUUGUGCUAUCGGAUUCUGCUAACAGCCUUUGUCCAUUGGCUGGCGCUCAACCUCACAUGAUCAUUUUGCACUCUUCACAACAUCGCUGGCCUGUUUCAGUUUCAUGCUUACAAAUUCCUCUAGUAGUGCUAAUAAAUAUAUGGGUGUUCAAGUGCACAAACCUUUGUGGCCCAAAAAUGCUAACAUUUUCUGCAAAUUGAUAUUAAGCGUAUAUAUGUCGCUGACAUUGAGUGACAAAGUUAUAGUUGAACAUGCAUGGUUUUGAGAUUUGGACCAAAGUUGCAACUAUGAAGGGAAUCCCUGCUGCUAGUUGAUUUAUGUGCUAAGUACAACCAUCAACCAUGUGGCUUCGACCUGGCGUGUCCCAUGCAUGAUAAGCGAGAUCCUGAAAAUGAGGCUAAUCUUAUGGUAGGUGUGGCGCAACAAAUAGAACCUAAUAAUGUUUACUUAUGAAAGAUACCUGCAUGUUGGUAUAACAUCAUUGUUGUUAUCAUUUACCCGAAAAAUGUAACCUGUAUCCCCAAAAUUGCAUGAUGGAUUGAAAUCAUACAAAUUUCCUUUUGUCAUGCAUAUUCAUCAGAACGCUGCAGAGAGAUUAAUAUCGAUAUCACAAAAUCUGAGAUGGGUCAAAACUUUGGUCUUUGUUUCUAUAAUUUCUGUACAUUUGUACUGUAUACAUAUGGCAAAACUGUAUCAAGAUCGGCUUAUCCUCAAAAAGGCGGAUGCCAAUCACAGGGAGUAGAGUGAUGUGGAGUAUUUAUGAGCUAAGAAUGUUUAAAAGAGAAACUCUGUUCUGGACUAAUUUCCUGAACAGAUUUCCUGCUCCAUUCUGAAGAUCUUGGAUGCUGCACUCUAACUCCUGCAAUUGCUCCUCCUUGCAAACAACGGCCUUCUUCUUGUAAAAUGCCUUGCAGACAAGGGACUGCUUUGGCAUUUCAAUUUGCUUCGACAAGAGAUGGAGUGUGGACUCCAACAGAGAGAUGCAGAUCUCUCUUGCCUUGGUCAAUAGCAUGACCAUCUUGUCGGAUGCAGGCUUCUUGGCAGUCUUCUUGAAAUGUUUCCUGGCCUUCUUCGCCAAGCGAGUAAAAGACUGGAUCUUGGCUUGAGCAGCUGCAUCAUCGCCUUUUCUUAGAGUCACCUGCAGCUCUUGGAUGAUGACCAUCAUCUCGGCGAAGGUCUCUUGCAUGUUGUUGCAUAGAUCUAACAGCUCAACGGAGCAUUCCAUCUCUCCAUCCAACAUCCUCCUCUGCUGGGAGAAGCAAACUUGGUGGCUUGGUAGGCAAAUGAUCUCGUCAAGACCAUCGUAGAUGCUUGCAAGAGUCCUGAGACCAUCGCGCAUCGUGCUGAUGGAAUUGGAGGAAGAGAUGCUUGCUUCUAGGCUGUGGACCUCUUGCUCAACUUCGGUCUCACUGACGUGAGGCCUAGAAGGCAAACUUGUUGAUCUUUGGUGGAAAGCCAUGACUGAGCUUGAAGCUUUUCUCUGUAUUGUGGUUGAUGAGACUUGAAGAAAAGAACACCUUUUGGUUUGAUGUGUCUACUUCUCUUCUGAGGCCUAUUUAUACAGAAAUGCAAAAGCAGUAGCAUUUGAUUGGUAGACAUGAAGAAUCAUGUCAUUACAUCUCCCAGAUGCUGUCUCCUAUGCCUAGAGAUCUGUCAAAGAGAUUACAACACUAAAGUUGUCUCGUGAUUAGUACAUAAUUUUGUGUCUCUACUGUCCUUUAGAUGAGCCACCACAUUAUCAUGUUCCAACAAUUGGCAGCAAGAACCAGCAUUGGCAUAAUUGCAUUCAGCUGUUACAUACCUGUAUUUAAUAAGAGGUUUUCCUUGGUGGGCACUCUUGUGAAUCACAGGUUAAAGUCUCAACUGUCGGAGCUGGCAUGUUUAGGCCAUGGAAACAAGAUCCACCGCACAAGAUCCAUGGCGGUUCAGCAUGUUAUCCCCACCGUGUAAGUAGCAUGACCAUUUCAUAUAUUUAAUUAUUUAUGCAUGCCCGUGGGCACAUUAUUUUUUCCAAUGUUUUUGUGCAAUCUUACUACCUCUUUGUCGUACUAACCGAUUCUCGGACAUUGGCAUCUUAUUUUCUGGUGAAAGUCUGAAAUAAGCAUAUAAAGCGUCGGUUGUUCUUUGUUUUUUAUGAAUCAUUAGAUGGGAAGCAAGAAAAACUUUGAGCACUGGCAAGUUUGGAUUACGUUUUUCUCAGAUUAUUGUUGAUCUCGUAGAACAUGCAAAAAGUUGUGGUUCUAGAGUAAAUAUUUUUGUUAUUUUUUCGCCCUAAAUGCUUGGAUGAUAUAGAUGUCAACAAUGUUAAAAUUUGAGUGCAGUAAUUUGGACUUAGUCGUAUGAAACAAAAAUAUAUUCAAUUAUAGUGCCAGGCACACCAUGUGGUGGUGGUGGAGAGUAUGGGUUAUAUGAUUGAUUCUGCUAACUACAAGUAGGGACCUUUUGACUUUGAUCUGGCAUGUUUCAUGCAUAAGGAGCAAGAUCCACUAACCAAGGAUAUCAACAUAAAGUAGCACAAACACAUCUUCAAGCAUGAAAUGACCAAAUGAUCAAAACUUCUGCUUCUCUUUCUACAGGGUCAUGUAUAUUUAUUAUUUAUACAGUAUAGUGUAUACAUAUGAGAAAAUUGUAUGAAGGUCAGCUGUUCCUUGAAAGGCAGAUGCCAAUCGGAGGGCGUCAAGAGUGACUCGGGAGUAUCUAUGAGCUAAGGAUGUUGAGUAGAGAAACUCUGCUCUGAGCUAAUUUCCUGAACAGAUGUCCUGCUCCGCUUUCUCCGAUACUGCAAUCUAACUCCGACAGUUCCUCCUGGCAAACAACUGCCUUCUUUUUGUGAAAUGCCUUGGAAACAGGAGACUGUUUAGGCAUUUCGAUUUGCUUCGAUAAUAGACGGAGUGUGGUCUCCAGCAGAGAGAAGAGAUCUCUCUGGCCUUGGCCAACAGCAUGACCAUCCUUCAAUCUGCAGAAAUCUUCUUUGCGGCCUUCUUGAAAUGAUUCUUGGCCUUCUUCGCCAAGUGGGUGUAAGCUUGGAUCCUGGCUUGAGCAGCCGCAUCAUCCGCUUUCCGUAGAGCCACUUGCAUCUCUUGGAUGAAGGCCUUCAUCUCGGCAAAGAUUUCUUGCAUGGCGCCACAGAGAUCUAGUAGCUCGAGAGAACCUUCCAUUUCUCCAUCCAACACAGUCCUCUGCUGGUAGGAGCAGAGUUGGCUGCUUGGUAGGCAGAUGAGCUCUUCGACGCCAUUAUAGAUGUCUCCAAGUCUCCUCAGAUCAUCGCAUAUUGCGCCGAUGGUCAUUUAGGAAGAGAUGCUUGCCUCUAGGCUCAACAUCUCUUCUUUGAUAUUGGUCUCGGUUAAAUGAGGCCUAGAAGGCAAACUUAUCGAUCUUAGGUGGAAAGCCAUGUCUUAUCUUGAAGCUUUUCUCUAUAUUGUCCUUGAGGAGAGGAGGAGCAGAAAAGAAGAACUUCUAGCUUAAUGUAUCUACCUUUCUGCUGAUGCCUAUUUAUACAAAGGUAGACAUGAGGAAUCAUGCCAUUAUACAUCUACCUCAUGUUGUCUGCUAUGCCUUGAGAUCUGGCAGAAGCAUAGAGAUCACAACACUAAAGUCGUCUCAUGUUUACUAUAAUUUUUUAUUGUGUCUGCUGCCCUCACAUUGAGAUGAACCAUCACAUUGUCAUGUUCCACUUAUUGGCAUCAAGGAAAAAUUAAGAAUGGUAUAGUUUGGUGGUGGAUCUUCACAUAGUUGCAUGCUGAAGCUAUUAUUUAUUGGAAUGCUGCUGGCUAUUGGCAUGUUCUUCAUUUCAUCAGGUAUUUUCUUUUGUUGGAUAUACUUGUGAUAACCACAGCCGGAUCCUCAAGGUUUGAAGCUGGCAGUUUUAUGUCCUGGAAACACACAAGGAAUACAGCAAGUGUUUUAUCUGUUCAACAUUUUAUACCCAUCCUUUCAGUUUGAACUGUGACCCUGCUCGCCAAUCUGUUUUUUCAAUGUUUUUUAUACAAUGUUAUUUCUUUUUGGUUAGACUAAUUAAUUGUCAAAAAUCGGUGCCAUUUUUUGGUCAAGCUUAGCAUCCCAACAAGUUGUUUUUCUUUUUCAGGCUAUUGCUUUUGUUGCCAGCCAAAUGGUUCAAUUCUGCAAACCCACAGAAACUACUGCAUCUCUGUUUGCCUCUUUGAUUCUACUGAAGCUCUUGUUGCAUAUACAACACGAUUGGAUCUUAUUUCAAUAGUCAGGGAGGCCCACUGGCAGACCUUAGAUGCUUGGGGCAGAAGUUAGAGUGCUAUUUUCCAGAUGGAAAGGAAAAGAAGAGGAACAUUUUGGUACCCUCAUAUAUAGUGCAGAAGUAGAAGAGUCUAGAGACAACAGGAAUCUUAGCAGUUCAAGUCCUGAGAGUUUGUCACCUAUCUUCAAGGCAAGUUUAUGCCGCUCUGCUGUCAUCUUAUCGUUUCAUGCAUCUAUGAAUGAGCAUAUAUGGGAUUGUCGUGUCUUAACUAUCGGAGGCAAACUCACACACGAGGAUCGGUUUUUGUAUUAGAUCAUGCAAGUAAAGUCGUGUCUUAGUUGUUAGUCUGCACCCUGAGGGUGUGCACGUGUGGUAGUGUAAGGAGUCAUUACCUCCAUCAGCAUGCUCCAGCGUCCUGCUAUCUGUUUCUGCUAACAGCACUCCAACCUUACAAGAUCAAUUUACACUCUUCACAACAUCGCUGGCACAUUUCAGUAGCAUUCUUACAAUUCGUCUAGUACUCAUUCAUAGAUGUACGGGUGUUCAGAUGCAUGAACCUUUGUGGACCAAAAAUGCUUGAUUUUCUGCAGAUUGAUAUUAAGCAUAUAUAUAUAUAUGGCGUCGCCAUUGAUGGCAAGACGUAUUAUGAGAUCGCUACAUCUUGUUCUCGGUCACGCUCAUGCAAACUACAAUGAUAGGCUUGUUUGGCCUGAAGUCGAAGCCGGGAGCUUCGUUGGCCACGAUCCCCUUGCUUGUCUUGAACAUCAUGAUUAACAAGUUCUGCAAGGUCGGGUUCCUUCCGAUUUUCCGAUGCCGGCCGGUCCAGGUACAUUCUGACCUGAUCUGUUGCAGUCACAUUCUUGUGAAGAGGAUAAUUAAAGAUAAAUUAAUUAUAUUAAGCCCUUCCUUUUGGAUAUCUUUACAAGGACAACGAUGGCCUUGACAAAACAAGGGAGGCCGAACGCAGCUCGGCCCAUGCCGUCAGAGUGUACAUGCGGCCAUGGAUGCCUCCGGCAGGGCGCUCCCCCGAGUCUAGCUCGGUGCAGCCUUUGGUAUGUUGUUUGAUAGUAAAAUGUUGUUCCUAUGGCUUGUUUUUACAUAAUGUCAUUAUAUGUUUGUGCAAGUUCUGUCGCAGCAAUUUUUAGCGCUGGCAUGCAGACUUCUGAUGGACAAGCACAGACCUUGUUUCUGUAAUUAUUCCGUGGUUCAGCAAGUAAUGAUGUGUGGUCAUCUCGUGACUUGUUCCUGAGGCCAGGCGCAGUUUGUUAAUUACGUCCUGAGCGGUAGGCUGACGAUGUGGAACCAUAGUAGUGUAGCGCUCUUGUUCUUCCAUGAUACUGUAUUUGCAUAUAUUCUCUUCGCCGUUACAGAAUUCAGUAGAAUGGAUAGCCCUUGCAUCAGGCAAGAAUAAAUUCUUCAAGCAAAGCCAGGAAUCAAAGCUGGAGAGAACAAAUUCUUGGUUUAGAUACAAACCAACGUAAGCAUUUUGAACUUGCCAUUCAAGAUUUGUCUGUGGACAUUCAAAUAGUGGACCAGGUCACCUUCACCGAGAUGUGGGCGAGCUCACGCCUUAUCCGCCGGCUAGAACAUCAAUGCAGCUCGGCUUUGAAAACACGACGAGAACCCAAGACGGUCAUGAUGCAAAGUUCCACCGCCACGAAGCGGACAGAGUCGGAAGACAGAGAGGGGGCCAUGACGACGCCCCUAGGCAUCGCCGCCGCCGCCGAUGCGCAAAGCUUUUGCUCGGCACUUCCCACCCCCAUGCCGUGGGAUCAAAGACCCAUAACGAUGGGGGUACCUCCACGGAGGAUUGGGGACUCCGAAUCUAGACCAAGGCUAGGUCACCACCACCCGCGACAACUUUGCCAAAACCUCCCAUCAUAGUGCACCUCUCCACCCACAUGGGUGAAGCCCAUCGCGAACACCUAUCUCAAUGUUCCUCGCUGGAGAACCAACCGUGAAGCCCGCUAUGGCAUCCAUGUUCCCGAAUUCGCCCCUGCCGCCACCCUAACCAAGCAAAUGGCUAGCGGCCUGAUAGUGCACGACCGUAGAUCGAGGAACGGGAUGGAUCUCUGAAUCGCUUGGUGGCAGAUCCAUACUCCUCGCCGGCGGUUUUACAUGUAUGACGAGUAUGUCUGGGCUGCGGUCUUGCUCUAUCUUGACAACAUCAAUCUGUUCCUGGCCCUGCUGACCCUGUUUAGGGCGGGUGACAGCUAAAGCGCAUCGUCCUGCCUGUGUUCACGAGACCUUGACUUGAAGAAUUGUAUAGGCUGCUCUUGCUUGCACGGUGAAAAUGUUGCUUAAUAGUUAAUACUGUAGUUUAGUUGAGUUGAUCCCUAGAGAGGAAACAUAAGAAAACUGCUGUGCGUGUGUUCUAUGUUGACAUGCUGGAUUGGUGGAUAUAUAUAUAUAUAUAUAUAUAUAUAUAUAUAUAUGAGGAAUCAUCGGGGAGGAGAGGAUCCCCACCUGUAUAUAUUACUCAAGUGGCCAAAGGGGGCCAAAGUAGGUUAGAGAGGCAACAGCGGCAUUGCGAGAGUCCGAAAUCCUCCACAAGAUUGCAAGCAGUACUUCCGGCCAUAUUCUAGAGUCCAGCUGCGGUGGUAUAUGGACGAGCCAAAGUUCUUGAAUCGUCGGCGUAGCAGUUAGGCCGAUUUUGUCCCAAAUCCGAGAGGCACAUGGGGAGCUGAUGAAUAGGUGAGUUGUGUCUUGAGAAGAACUGGAGCACCGCGGACAAGCAGCAGUAUCCAACGUAUGUUUAUGUGACAAGUUGGCGCGGGUGUUGAGAGUUAAAACAUGGGAGGUGGCUAGCCCUCUGGCAAUGAGCCACUCAGGCGUGGUUAGGGAUUGGAGGAAAGCCAGUCUCAUACGUGUGCGAGCGUCGAUCAAGUCGCGCCCCCGGACGUGUGUGUCGCCGGCCUCCAUCGAUCGACCACCAUGGACCAUAUCCGCCACACCCACCACGCCGAGUCAUGCCUGCACGCCAUCACCACAGAACACACCACCACCACCCAGCAGCAGGCUGUCCGGAGACCCCGUUGUCGCCGCUGCCGACUGGGCUUCGACCGGCGGCGUGGAAGGGGGAGAGGUUGAGGGAGGCCUGCUGGCGGUAGGGUUUGCCGAUUCACCGCUCACGAGAGCGGCGCGUGCGAGACAAAGCGUUACUUUUUCGCUCCACACAACCCAACAUGAACUUCAGCACCAUCACGUCGCCCGAGGUGAUGGCAAGCACAAACCUCCUCAACCCGGAGGGCCCAUCAAUGGCGCCAUGAAAGAGCUAGACUGCACACUCACUCAUCCUCCUCCCAAACGCAAAGGAGGACCCAAGCGGUACACUGAAACUGUUGCGCACCUCUGAUAUGAAUACCUCUAUUGUCGCCUCCAGUGCGUUCUCGAUGCAUGCUAGAGAUAUGUCAACGACAUAGGGGUCGCCUUUGAUGGGAUGCUUGACUGGUUUCCAUGCACCGCGGUUGUAGAAGUUUAUCGCUCAGUCUAUCAGUCGCAGAUCGUCUUCCUUUCCUCACCCGUUCUUCAUUCUCAUGUCAAACUCUAUCAAAGUGGGGCAAGCCAGUUCUUAUGGUCAGUCUUUUUACUUUUUUUUUGAGGUUGUCAGUCAUUUAAAUGAGAGAACCCUGUAAAAUUAUUGUUGUUAUUUUUCUUAAAGGCUCGACAUAGAAGUUCGAGAAAUAUCUAAAACAAGAAACUAUGCUUACAAGCAAUGUACCAACAGUUUCAAUAAAUUGACGAAUUAUAAACUCCUAUAAACGAAAUAAUUUGAGUUAUACAAUGAAAAUUAGUCAUGUACCAACAGUUAGAACAACCCGAUCGUCCCUCCAGUCCCUCUCGCGAGUGACAGGAGAGAAAACCUAGCCGCCGCCGGGGCCUCCCCUUCUCCUCCGUCGCCACCACCAAAGGGCGCGACCAGGUGAAGCCCCGCCGGCGGCGAGGAUACCUCGUCCUCUCGCAUGGCGGCUCCGCAUGGGCCGGGGCUGCUAGAUCAGAGUGCAGUGCUGGUGGUGCGCAAUGGAUCAAGGCUACGAUAGCAGCAUGGCGGGUCCGCGUCGGGUGACCUGGGGCGGUGCGUGCUCGGGGGCUUAGCGGUGGCGGCUUCGUAGUGGCCAAAUCUGAUCCGCGGGCGGCCAGCUAUGUCAUGGUUGUGGUGGAGAUGAUGUCGUGGGUAUGGAGGCUACUCUACUCGUGGUGGCCUGUCUCUGUGCCCGGCGUGUCCUGUUGGCGAAGCAGCGGUGCAUGCUAGGGGUGGCGUUCUCGGGCGGCAGAUCUGGUGGUGGCCUUCUCGUCAUAGUGAUGGAAGGUCAAGCGCGGCUAACCAUGGGGCGGCGUGCGAGGGAUUCAUGCCCUAGUGCCAGGAUCUGACGGUCAAGGCGGCAGUUGCCCUUCGUAUGGGCGACGAAAGCAGCUGACGCGGCGGUGGGAGCACACUGCGGCACCGAGAAUCUGAGCGGCACCCCUCUCCUUUGACGGCAGUGGCCCCCGUGGUCGUGUGGGAGAUUCAGAGGCCGAAUCUUAAGGUGGUGACAGCCUUUCUAAGGCUGGCACGGUAUGGGACGCCCCCUCCAUUAAUAGAUCGGGUUCAAUGCGGCUCGGCAGGUGGCACAUGCGUCUCUUCCGGAGGUAUCAUGUAGUGCCUAUCGUCGGCAGGUGAAGCCGCCGGCGGGUGCUUCGCCGGCAGAUGCUACGCACGAAGGCUGUCACGGAGUCGUCAAGUCAUGCCUUGUUCGGAUAGGUGAUGCACGGUGGCUCUGGUGGAGAUGUCAUGUUUAGCAUGUCGCUGCUGGAUCAAAAGGUGAUGCGAUAGUGACGGGAAGCGAGGCGGUAUGGGACGUCUUUGUAUUCCGACAUCUUUUUCAGAGGUAUCCAAUUACCAAUGUGUUGGUUGACGGACAAGGGACGAUGGUAGAGGCGGCUUCAACAACGAGUUUGUGCACUCUAGUGGAAAGACAACAUAAGAUCUCUGAUCAGGUUAUGUUGACUCCCGCCUACAUCGUGUCCUUGCUGAAGAUGGUGGAUCGAGGCCUAGCUUUGGGGAUAGGAAUCCUGAGAUGAACCUUCGGUUGUACUCGUCAUCAUCAGCGCACAUGCGGCGAUUCCUUCUUAAAGGCGUAGCCUAGUAGUUGUAUAUUUUUUGUUUCGAGUUUUUCUUUUUAUCGUAGAGUUAGUGGUUAUCUAGUGUCGUAACUGUCGCGAGGCAUGCAUGCUCGGGUUUUAUUUCUGUCUUUUUUUUGGAUCGAUGUUGUUCAGCUCCUGGAUUUUGAGUUAUUAAUAAUAUACGGCUGUGUGCACCGCUCAAUACAGAGGCUAGGGUUAUUCUCCUUUUCGGAAAAAAAAUGUACCAACAUUUAAAACAAAUGAUCUCGUUAAUUAUAAACUCUAAGUAAAAUAUAUAGUUUUAUUUCUAGUAGAAGUAAAAUAUAUAGUUGAGGUGUACAAAAGAAUGUUAGCCAUAUACCAACCAUUUAAAAAAAUGAUAGCAUACAUCAUAAACACCUACAAAAACAAAACAAAAAGUUUGAUUCCUACAAAACAAACGUGGCUUGUGAAUUUAUUUCCAUUAAAAUUUGGGAAAAUAACAAAUAUAUGGAAAAUAUGUAGCUAAACCUGGAUGUGUACUCCCUGAUGAACAAUAAACUAAAAAAAUAAGCAAAAAAAAAAACUGAAGAUUUCAUCAAAGAUGCAGAAAUGCUUAGGCGCUUAAAAAAGUUUUUUCUAUAAAUGAUAUUCGAGGAC
rnacentral:lncRNA from 1 species